AUUGAACGCUGGCGGCAGGCCUAACACAUGCAAGUCGAGCGGAUGAAGGGAGCUUGCUCCUGGAUUCAGCGGCGGACGGUUGAGUAAUGCCUAGGAAUCUGCCUGGUAGUGGGGGAUAACGUCCGGAAACGGGCGCUAAUACCGCAUACGUCCUGAGGGAGAAAGUGGUGGAUCUUCGGACCUCACGCUAUCAGAUGAGCCUAGGUCGGAUUAGCUAGUUGGUGGGGUAAAGGCCUACCAAGGCGACGAUCCGUAACUGGUCUGAGAGGAUGAUCAGUCACACUGGAACUGAGACCCGGUCCCGACUCCUACGGGAGGCAGCAGUGGGGAAUAUUGGACAAUGGGCGCAAGCCUGAUCCAGCCCUGCCGCGUGUGUGAAGAAGGUCUUCGGAUUGUAAAGCACUUUAAGUUGGGAGGAAGGGCAGUAAGUUAAUACCUUGCUGUUUUGACGUUACCAACAGAAUAAGCACCGGCUAACUUCGUG
rnacentral:rRNA from 1 species